rnacentral:rRNA from 1 species
UACGGAGGUUGCGAGCGUUAUCCGGAUUUAUUGGGUUUAAAGGGUGCGUAGGCGGUUUGAUAAGUCAGUGGUGAAAGUUUGCAGCUUAACUGUAAAAUUGCCAUUGAUACUGUCAGACUUGAGUACAGAUGAGGUAGGCGGAAUGUGUGGUGUAGCGGUGAAAUGCUUAGAUAUCACACAGAACACCGAUUGCGAAGGCAGCUUACUAAACUGACACUGACGCUGAGGCACGAAAGUGUGGGGAUCAAACAGGAUUAGAUACCCUGGUAGUCCACACUGUAAACGAUGAUUACUGGAUGUUUGCGAUACACUGUAAGCGUCUCAAGCGAAAGCAUUAAGUAAUCCACCUGGGGAGUACGUCGGCAACGAUGAAACUCAAAGGAAUUGACGGGGGCCCGCACAAGCGGAGGAACAUGUGGUUUAAUUCGAUGAUACGCGAGGAACCUUACCCGGGCUCGAACGACAGGGGAAUAUGGGGGAAACUUCAUAGCCAGCAAUGGUCGCUGUCGAGGUGCUGCAUGGUU